UACGUAGGGUGCAAGCGUUGUUCGGAAUCAUUGGGCGUAAAGCGCGUGUAGGCGGCUUUGUAAGUCAGGUGUGAAAGCCCUCGGCUUAACCGAGGAAGUGCGCCUGAAACUGCAGAGCUUGAGUACCGGAGAGGGCGGUGGAAUUCCCGGUGUAGAGGUGAAAUUCGUAGAUAUCGGGAGGAACACCAGCGGCGAAGGCGACCGCCUGGACGGCUACUGACGCUGAGACGCGAAAGCGUGGGGAGCAAACAGG
rnacentral:rRNA from 1 species